AGUGAACGCUGGCGGUAGGCCUAACACAUGCAAGUCGAACGGCAGCACAGUAAGAGCUUGCUCUUACGGGUGGCGAGUGGCGGACGGGUGAGGAAUACAUCGGAAUCUACUUUUUCGUGGGGGAAAAGGUGGGGAAACUUAGCCUAUUACCGCAUACGACCUACGGGUGAAAGAGGGGGAUCUUCGGACCUUGCGCGAUUGAAUGGGCCGAUGUCGGAUUAGCUAGUUGGCGGGGUAAAGGCCCACCAAGCCGACGAUCCGUAGCUGGUCUGAGAGGAUGAUCAGCCACACUGGAACUGAGACACGGUCCAGACUCCUACGGGAGGCAGCAGUGGGGAAUAUUGACAAAGGGCGCAAGCCUGAUCCAGCCAUACCGCGUGGGUGAAGAAGGCCUUCGGGUUGUAAAGCCCUUUUGUUGGGAAAGAAAAGCAGCAGGUUAAUACCCCGCUGUUCUGACGGUACCCAAAGAAUAAGCACCGGCUAACUUCGUG
rnacentral:rRNA from 1 species